GACGAACCGAGCGAACGUUAUUCGGAAUCACUGGGCUUAAAGGGCGCGUAGGCGGGCGGCCAAGUCAGGGGUGAAAGCCCCCAGCUCAACUGGGGAAGUGCCUCUGAUACUGGUCGCCUCGAGGGAGAUAGGGGCGUGCGGAACUUCCGGUGGAGCGGUGAAAUGCGCAGAUAUCGGGAGGAACACCGGUGGCGAAGGCGGUUCUCUGGGCCUGUACUGACGCUGAGGAGCGAAAGCGUGGGGAGCGAACAGG
rnacentral:rRNA from 1 species